UUUGUAUUGAUAAUAAUGGGUGCUUUUAGUUAGAUGCAGCAUUUUCAUUCAUGGCAUGGAUGGCGUUUGGAGUUGAUGAUGCUUUUUGUUUGUGAAUGGUAGCCGCGGUUUAUGAUAUGAUGAUACAGGCUCCGCUUCGAAAUAUAAGGCGUAAUGUUUCUGCCCCUCAGAAAUAAAUCAGGCUUUUCGAUGUUUGACCUUUAUUAGUUUUGCAAUGGAGAGAGUAGUACCUUUUGUAGGCAGGGUCCUCUGGUUUGUGUCGCUGUGUUGAAAUAUGUUGCCCGCCCCCCUUUCUCUAUCAGUUCGGUCUUUUGGAUAGAUGAUGGUUGAAUCGGUCGGAACAUGAAUGAACUCACUGUAACACACUGCAUCCGUUCCUUUCUUGAUCUCCCAAGAAUAAGGGGCGUGCGUGUGUCGGUACACUGGACGCGGGCUGUUCAUUUGUAUUUGUUGGGAAUCCUUGCCUUGUUCCCCAAGAAGGUCCGGUUAUCAACGGAAUUUGGUUAAUUCAAUCCAAAGCCGAUUUUUUUUUUGAAAGUAAUCCAAAGCCGAUUUGCCAAACGGCCACCCACCUGAAUAGUUGUCCAAAAAAAAAAAGUUUAGGGCACACGAAUAGUUGUCAAAAAAGAAAAGAGUUAAGGGCAUAAUAAUUUACCGCUUUGCCCGUCGGAUCACGCGCGUCCGUCCAUCUAAAACCCAACGGCCAGGGAAAAUCCGGGGCGGAUGGCCCUCCCGAUCGAGCGUGUUUCCGGAAAAAGGAAGGAAGGAGUCUCGUGUGAUUGAAUGAAAGAAACUAAAUCCAACGAGAUUCUGCUUCCGUUUAUUCGUUCGUCGGUUCUAACCGCCGCCAGACGAUACAGACACGUACUACGUACGGCGAGAGAAUAAUAAUAAACCAGCAGGGAGCGGAAUCGCCCACCGCCGGCCGUACGUGCGCGCCCGAUCUCGCCGUCGCCGUCGAGGACCACGUGCUAGCUCCGGUGCUCGCUCGUUCGGCCGUGCUGCCCGGCUUGGAUUUUCGGCGCCAUGGCGCUCGGCAACAUCGCCGUCGUGCUCGGCUCCGGUGAGUUCCCGUGCUCAUCACCCCUCAGCUUCGGUCCACAUCUAUCUGCCAUGCAUCUACGGUUCUCUCGUCGCCGCCGGCGACUGCCGCGUCCUUCUGAAUCUAUCUGAUGUGCUGCUGAUGCUGGGGUUUAGCUUACAUCUAGCUUCCUGCCUAGGGUUUAGCUUACCUACCCGCUGGGUGGGUACAUACGGAUCAACGGAUCACUUUGGUUCCUACUCUAGUUUACUUUGAUGGCUACAAAUAAUCCAAUCCAAUCCAACUGCUCGCUCACAACCCAUCCCUGUAUCUAUAAUUCUGUCUUCUUACUUGCUUCAAGCAAAGCUUUUGCAGCCUCCCCCCCUUGAUUGAGAAUUGCAGCCUCUGUUCUUUAACAAUCUGCAAUUAGCCUUUAUUUAGGGGAACGCUGCAAAUUCUUCUGCAAAGCAUACUAACGGAUUGCAAAAACUUUCUUUCUUUCUUCUCGGUCUCUUGGCAGGAUAUCUCAGCACUAUUCUUACAGGAGGCGACGCCAAGAAAGUCCCCAUCAUCGGGGACACGCUUGCCCAUUUUGUGAAGAACACCGGCAAGCAUGACAGCAACGAUCAGUUGGCGUCACAGCUCAACAGUAUCAAGGAGGAGGUACAGCGAGUCGUACGCCGCAGAGACGAGAAUGUUACGGUUAUCUCCGACACAUCAGGGUCUGGUUCCUAUACCAUAACAGCAAUUGUCGUUGCUGGGCUUAUCGGCUACACAUACAUCAGGUGGAAGGGUUGGAAGAUUUCUGACAUGAUGUGGGUGACGAAGCGCGGUCUAGCCGAUGCCUGUGAUGUCGUUGGAAAACAGUUAGAUGGUGUUUCAAAUACAGUACAGG